GACGGAGGGUGCAAGCGUUGCUCGGAAUCAUUGGGCGUAAAGGGUGCGUAGGCGGCUUUUUAAGUCUGACGUGAAAGCCCAGGGCUUAGCCUUGGAAGUGCGCCAGAAACUGGAAGGCUAGAGUGCCGGAGGGGAGAGUGGAAUUCCUGGUGUAGCGGUGAAAUGCGUAGAGAUGUGGAGGAACACCAGUGGCGAAGGCGACUUUCUGGGCUGUAACUGACGCUGAGGCGCGAAAGCGUGGGGAGCAAACAGG
rnacentral:rRNA from 1 species